UUGACAGGCCUGAAGAUUGAAAUUCUCAAUUUAUCCACAGAAGAGGCACAAUACAGCACAGGCAACAAUCUUUCAAUACACCUCAACCCUGACCAGGAGUGACCAUACCUAAUGGUAGUAUGGAGGUUGAAUCUUCAUUUCCAUGAAGUCCUUGUCUUCU
rnacentral:sRNA from 1 species